rnacentral:rRNA from 1 species
UAGGGAAUCUUCCACAAUGGACGCAAGUCUGAUGGAGCAACGCCGCGUGAGUGAAGAAGGUCUUCGGAUCGUAAAGCUCUGUUGUUGGUGAAGAAGGAUAGAGGCAGUAACUGGUCUUUAUUUGACGGUAAUCAACCAGAAAGUCACGGCUAACUACGUGCCAGCAGCCGCGGUAAUACGUAGGUGGCAAGCGUUGUCCGGAUUUAUUGGGCGUAAAGCGAGCGCAGGCGGAAUGAUAAGUCUGAUGUGAAAGCCCACGGCUCAACCGUGGAACUGCAUCGGAAACUGUCAUUCUUGAGUGCAGAAGAGGAGAGUGGAACUCCAUGUGUAGCGGUGGAAUGCGUAGAUAUAUGGAAGAACACCAGUGGCGAAGGCGGCUCUCUGGUCUGCAACUGACGCUGAGGCUCGAAAGCAUGGGUAGCGAACAGGAUUAGAUACCUGGUAGUCCAUGCCGUAAGCGAUGAGCGCUAGGUGUUGGGGACUUUCCGGU